rnacentral:misc_RNA from 1 species
AAAAUGCCACAUGGCAUGCCACAUUAGUAGGAGCAUACUUUAUACAAUUUUUUAAUUUUUAAAGGGGUUUGGUCAGUUGGACAAAAAUUGAAACCAUUGGCUUAAAACUCAAAUGAUCGAAAAGGUUGGAUAUUUAGUGUGAUUAGGCCUUUAUAUAUCUAUCUAUCUAAACAUUUGUUUUAUUAUGUGAUAGAUUUCCUCUUUCUUGAUAAUGUGCUUAUUAUAU